rnacentral:rRNA from 2 species
CUUCUAUGACGUUAACGGCGGACGGGUGAGUAACACGUGGGCAACCUGCCUGUAAGACUGGGAUAACUUCGGGAAACCGAAGCUAAUACCGGAUAGGAUCUUCUCCUUCAUGGGAGAUGAUUGAAAGAUGGUUUCGGCUAUCACUUACAGAUGGGCCCGCGGUGCAUUAGCUAGUUGGUGAGGUAACGGCUCACCAAGGCAACGAUGCAUAGCCGACCUGAGAGGGUGAUCGGCCACACUGGGACUGAGACACGGCCCAGACUCCUACGGGAGGCAGCAGUAGGGAAUCUUCCGCAAUGGACGAAAGUCUGACGGAGCAACGCCGCGUGAGUGAUGAAGGCUUUCGGGUCGUAAAACUCUGUUGUUAGGGAAGAACAAGUACGAGAGUAACUGCUCGUACCUUGACGGUACCUAACCAGAAAGCCACGGCUAACUACGUGCCAGCAGCCGCGGUAAUACGU